rnacentral:rRNA from 1 species
GUCGCAAGACCAAAGAGGGGGACCUUCGGGCCUCUUGCCAUCGGAUGUGCCCAGAUGGGAUUAGCUUGUUGGUGGGGUAACGGCUCACCAAGGCGACGAUCCCUAGCUGGUCUGAGAGGAUGACCAGCCACACUGGAACUGAGACACGGUCCAGACUCCUACGGGAGGCAGCAGUGGGGAAUAUUGCACAAUGGGCGCAAGCCUGAUGCAGCCAUGCCGCGUGUAUGAAGAAGGCCUUCGGGUUGUAAAGUACUUUCAG